GAUGAACGCUGGCGGCGUGCUUAACACAUGCAAGUCGAACGGUUAAGGCGGAGCUUGCUCUGCUAGAUCAGGGGCAAACGUGUGAGUAACACGUGAGUAGCCUGCCCAUGACUUUGUGAUAACUUCAGGUAACUGGGGCUAAUACCUGAUAGGAGCUCCUGCUGCCUGGUGGGGGUUGGACAGUUUCGGCGGUUGGGGAUGGACUCGCGGCUUAUCAGCUUGUUGGUGGGGUAGUGGCUUACCAAGGCUUUGACGGGUAGCCGGCCUGAGAGGGUGACCGGCCACAGUGGGACUGAGAUACGCACCAGAAUACUCAGGGAGGCAGCAGUGGAGAAUAUUGCACAAGGGGCGGAAGACUGAUGUCGCAACGUGGCGUGCGGGAGGGCGGCCUGCGGGUUGUCAACCGCUUUCGCCUGUGACGAAGCGUGAGUGACGGCACUGGGUAUGGAAGCACCGGCUCACUACGUG
rnacentral:rRNA from 1 species